CAAAAACAUGUCUUUUUGAUAAUGAUUUAAGGUCGGGCCUGCCCAAUGAUUUUUAAAUGGCCGCAGUAUUUUGACUGUGCAAAGGUAGCAUAAUCAUUAGUUCCUUAAUUAGGAGCUGGUAUGAAUGGCUUGAUGAAAGACUAACUGUCUCUGUCUGGUUUUUCUAGAAUUUUAUUUUUAAGUUAAAAAGCUUAAAUUUGAUAUAAAGACGAGAAGACCCUAUAGAGUUUAAUAGUUGAUUAGUGAGGGUUUUGAAGGGUUUUUUAUUUUCUGGUUGAUUUCCUAUUUCGUUGGGGUGAUGUGAAAGUUAAGCAAACCUUUCAUUGUUUUAACAUUAAUUAAUGGUUUAUUGAUCCUUGGUUGAAGAUUAUAAGACUAAAUUACCUUAGGGAUAACAGCGUAAUUUCUUCUGAAAGUUCUUAUUGACGAGGAAGUUUGCGACCUCGAUGUUGGAUUAAAAUUUACUUUUGGUGUAGCAGCUAAACAGUUGGGUCUGUUCGACCUUUAAAAUUUUACAUGAUCU
rnacentral:rRNA from 1 species